GCCCUGUAGUGGUAAUUACAUAAUGAAUUGCAAAUUCAAAGAAGCAGCUUCAAUUUUGCCGGGGGUU